rnacentral:rRNA from 1 species
GACGAACGCUGGCGGCGUGCUUAACACAUGCAAGUCGAACGGAAAGGCCCUGCUUUUGUGGGGUGCUCGAGUGGCGAACGGGUGAGUAACACGUGAGUAACCUGCCCUUGACUUUGGGAUAACUUCAGGAAACUGGGGCUAAUACCGGAUAGGAGCUCCUGCUGCAUGGUGGGGGUUGGAAAGUUUCGGCGGUUGGGGAUGGACUCGCGGCUUAUCAGCUUGUUGGUGGGGUAGUGGCUUACCAAGGCUUUGACGGGUAGCCGGCCUGAGAGGGUGACCGGCCACAUUGGGCCGGGGAUACGGCCAAGACUCUUCCGGGAGCAGCAGUGGGGAAUAUUGCACAAUGGGCGGAAGCCUGAUGCAGCAACGCCGCGUGCGGGAUGACGGCCUUCGGGUUGUAAACCGCUUUCGCCUGUGACGAAGCGUGAGUGACGGUAAUGGGUAAAGAAGCACCGGCUAACUACGUG